UACGUAGGUUGCGAGCGUUGUUCGGAUUUAUUGGGCGUAAAGGGUUCGUAGGGGGUUGAUUAAGUCUGACGUGAAAUCCCGGAGCUUAACUCCGGAACUGCGUUGGAAACUGGUUGACUAGAGCGUCGGAGAGGGGAGUGGAAUUCCUGGUGUAGCGGUGGAAUGCGUAGAUAUCAGGAGGAACACCGAAAGCGAAGGCAGCUCCCUGGACGACUGCUGACCCUGAGGAACGAAAGCGUGGGGAG
rnacentral:rRNA from 1 species